rnacentral:lncRNA from 1 species
GCCUGCCUUCUUCAAUGUAUCUCCAACCAUUAUUAUUCUCGUCCGUUCUGCGUUUCCCUGAAAAUCACAUCACCAAUCGCGAGCGAAAGAAAACAACUCCGAACUAAGAAAUAAUCCAAAUCUCUCAUAAAAAAACGAGCAACCGAAAGAAGAUUGAGGAAAAAGACACGAUGCGCUUACGCCUCUCUUGAGAGAAUGAACGAUGAU